ACGUGUGAUGUAAAUUUACAACACCGUACUGUCUCCCAUAAUUUUUUUUUGGCAGGGACCGUUUCUUACUCGGGGUCGUGGGUUUGGGAGCUAGCCCACUGCCCAGCCGCACCUCCUUUUCCUCUUGGGUUCCUAAUGGAGUGCGUCGACGGUGAGCGGUUGGGGAAUCGAAGUUUGCACAGCGGCGAGAGGAUGCGCGGACGGCGGCGAGAGGUGGGCGGGCUCAGUAGCGAAGUGAGCGACGGCUGCGCUGACCCUGUCCUAGAUAGCGUCGGCGGCGGCAGCAGGUGAAAUCAGCAGCCUUGUGGUCGGUCGUCCGAAGCGGCUGUUGGAUGGCAGCAGGUGAAAUGGCGGUUUGGUGUGAUUGGCUUCAACAGAACCGAUUCCCAUUGGAGUGGAAGGGGACGAGCGGCUGUUGGAUGGCGGCAACUGGUGACUUCGGCAGCCUCACCCUCGGAUUAGCCCAAGACUGAAUUUUUUUUCAGCAAUGAUGUGGGGAUCUGUCCGCUAGGUUUCAUGUCAUCUCGGGGCAAUGCUGCCAUUGCAGUGUGGCGGUGUCAGCAGCCUGGUUCGUCCACGCGGUGGGUGGUGGCUGAGGGUAGCCUCGGCAUUGGCACAUCGGGUGGUUCCUGCGGGAUGCAUCAUGGUGAGCAGCAGGCCCCCUGAGCCGUGUUGUGGGUCGAUUCAUGGCCAGCGCACCCAUGGGCUUCAACGUAAGGCCAAUGGUUUUGAGCCACUCAAAGAAAUUGUCCAGGUCGAGGAAAUCACAGAACAAGGUUGUUCCUUGCGCUAACCCAACGACCGAAGAGCAGCAGGAGAGAUAAACAUUGAGUUCCAAACUGCUUUAUCCUUUCAAGUUCCACCGAAGAAAGAAAUAAAGAUGAACCAACAUAGCUCUCGUGCGUCAUCUUACUUGAUUUGAAUGAAACCAGGCCUUUUACCUGAAUCUUUGGAGAAGUUCAGACCCAUGAAAAUCCAUAUAAAAAAAAACUAGAUUUGAAGCUCCCCUUGUGCAUACUCUCCCUAAAGCAAACUGCGCUUAUGUAUAUAGCUGAAUAUCUUUAUUGUGGUGUCCUGUCCAUGUAAUGUUCUUGCUUAUGAAAGCUUCCUUCUAUUAGCGUCAUCUACCAGAUCAUAUCCGGAAUUGUUGUACCGCAAGAAUGAUCCAUGCCACGCACGUGACAUUUUUUAAUCCACAUUUUUUUA